UGGGGUCUGGUGGGGGAUGAUGGGUCCCCCAGUGCGGUGAACCUCGCCUUCUCCAUCAUCCUCGGGUGCUGCAUCAUCCUCGGCGGGAGGCUGGCUCCCUGGGAGGAGGAGGAGGAUGCCUUCUUCUUCCCUGCUGCUGCAGCAUCUUUCUCUCCAGCAGCAUCCUCUUCGGUCCUCCGGGAAGAAGGAGAAGGAGAAGGAGAAGCGGGCGAAGGGAGCAUCUCUGUCUCUGCGAAGCUGCUUCCUUGGGAUCCAGCGCCUUUUCCUUCGUUCCUGGGGAGGGAGAAGCCUUUCAGCCCCUCCAAGGGCUUGGGUUCCAAUCCUGACCUGAGAGUGGUGGCGAGUCCCAAGGAACAGGUGCUGAUGUCUUCUCCAUGAGCUGUCCGAUGCAUGGCUUGAAAAAGGAUGCUGUUUUCAUUCCACCCAAAAAAAUAAAGCACCCAAGGAAUAGUUGGAAGAGAAAUGAAGAUGUUGCAUCACUUCUUUAACCAGCUUCAAAACGGAGUUGAAAACCAUCCUGUUCAGAGAAGC